UCGGUUAAAAUUAUUAGGAUUAGGACGA
rnacentral:piRNA from 1 species